UUAGCUCACAAUUAUACAGCAAAGUCUCCUGGGAGGGUUUAUAUGUUAAGCUCUGUCAGUAAUUUCUCCCCUAGCAAGAAUGAGGAAGAUGAAGAGCUCGGGUAUCUGAGGGCUGGUGUGUCUGCAUGCGUGUGUGUUUUGGGGGCCGACUGAAGGAAGAGAAGGCUGGAGAGAGGGAACAUGGGUCUGAGGGCACAUCGCUAAGGGGUCAAGAGGCCUAAAGGAGGAGUCUAAGGCUCUCCAUCGAACUUGGACUUGGUCUACAUUAGACUUUAACCUCCAUGAGGCUUGGACUUUCAGGCUUCCUCCCUCACACCGCGGGCAGGUGAGGCGUCUGCUACAGGCCUGGUCUCGCAGAGGGGGCCCAGCGCCCCCCGCCGCCGCCUUCUCCUGGAGUCUGUGUGACAGAAUGGGACCUGUGGGAAAGCAGCACGUCAGCACCCAGCCCCGCUUGCGCGCCAGCAGCUAAUUAAAGCCAGGAAGGUGAUGGCGAUUUUCAACUCAUUCCCGUUACAAACAGCCGACCUUCCUACCGAGUUCAAGUACCUUCUGCCUGGCCUGGAAGAACAAUAUCUCUCUGUCUCCCUCUUCCACUGGCCCUCACCUGCCUUCCCCUGAACAUGCAUUUUGCCUGACAGGAGACAGAGGCAGUUGAGAUGGAGUCUUGCUAUAUGGCCCAGCUGGUAAUGCCUAGAUUCUUGAGUCCCUCCCUGGCUCAUCCCUGGGAGCAGCACUGAACCCCUUGUCUGACACCUGUCUGGAAAUGGAGCCUGCACAUUGACCCUAGCCAUGUGUGGUCUUGUUACUAAGUGUUAGCCAGUGAGAGAACAUACAAGAGGAGGCCCAUGUUGAUUCAGAGGAUGAAUGAGAGAUGCUUGCAGCUUGGUCCAGGAGGCCAGCAGGACCAGAGAGAAGACCACAGCGACACAUGGGGAUGGCUGUCCCACAGGCAGAAAUGAGCAGCCGGGAGGAAGCCCAGGCAGCCAGCCACCCAGCUCCCUCCACAUCGUGGCCCUAGAACGGAGUCUUGAAGAAUAAGAAGCCACAGCUUGUCAGGGAAUCAGGCUGGAAAAAUGUUAUGAGACUGAGUAAGACCAGAGAUUCCUCAGCAGUGCCUGGAGAAGACCAGGAGAGGAAGCAGAAGACCCUCCUCAAAGAAGCAGCCUUCACCUCCAGACCUCCCAGCGGGACUUAGACAAUGGGGUUAGGCAGUCACAUGUCUGCACGUGGAAACUUUCUGGGACUGUGCUUGGAUCCUGGCUCUGCCUUUUACUAGCCAUGUGACCUUGGGAAAAUCACUUGACUUCUCCGUGCAGGAUUCCUCAUCUGUAAAAAUGGUCUAAGAUUAGGAGCCACCUCAAGGUUGUUGUAGGAAUUAAAUUAAUUCAUGUUUAUAAAGUGCUUUGAACAGCGUUUGGCACAUGGAGAAUUAAAUGAGCAAACGGAAGAGCAGCAACCCUGAGUUACAUUUCUCAAGACACCGGGGCUCUUGAUGGCACAGCAGCAGCUUGCUAGAGCUUGGUAAAGAGACUUGGGCCUGGUACCUGAAGGGCAAUUCCUUGGCCAUGACAUUGUAGGGAAAGACCUCUAUGGGUGUUGAAAAGACAAGGCGAGGACAAGAAGAGUUGAAAAGGAGCUGUUCUGAAGCCACCUGGCUGUGGAUGGAGGAAGCCACAUGUAGCUUAGGUAGCCUGCUAUUGUAAUUUUUUCUGCAACUGAAGAAUUCGAAAUGGGUUUGGUGGGUAGCGAAGGGCAGAAUCUGGCUUCAAGGUGACAGAGUUUGCAUAGAGAUGGCCUUCUUGAGCAAAGGUAGUGACUCCUACAUUUUUUUUUUUUGUAGAGUUGUGAUACCCAUGAGUUAGUCAGCUUGGGCUAUCAUAACAAAAUACCACACAUUGGUUGGCUUAAACAACAGAAAUUCAUUUUCCUGUAAUUCUGGAGGCUGGAAGUCCAAGAUCAAGGUGACGACAGAGUUGGGUUUCCUCUGAAGCCUCUCUCCUUGGUUUUCAGAUGGGUGUCCUCUUGCUGUCUCUUCAUGUGACUGUCCCUCUGCAUGUGUGCCCCUGGGGACUCUUUCUUAUCUUAUAGUGACACUAGUUCUAUUGGAUUGAAGUGUACCCAUACGACCUCAUUUAAACUUAAUUACAUAUUGUAAGGCCCUAACUUCAAAUACAGUCACAUCCUGAGGUACUGUGUAUUAGGGCUUCAACAUAUAAAUUUUGGGGCAAUCCAGUUCAGCCCAUAAAAUCCCUUUUUGGUUGCUUGAUUCUGUUUAUUUGGUGUCAUGCCUUCCUUUUCCUAAAGAACUUCAUGAAUAGAAUUACUUUCUAAGUGAAAGGAACAAAACUGAUUUUUAUUAAAAAUUAUUUUGAGAUGCUUGUGACAAAUUUUGAAGUAAGUGAAGAUUUUCCUGGAGCUUCUACAAAAUCCUGGCUGAGAAUCCCUGCUUUCUGGACAGUUGAGAAGGAAAUACACUUAGUACAGCUGUUAGAGAGAUAUAGUUGCAACCACUGAGUGCUUAUUAUCUGCCAACUUAAAUAUAUUGCCCAAGGGAAUAACAAAUAUUCUAGUGUUCUUGUUAAGUAUAUUGUCUAAGGUCACACAGCUCUUAAACAACAGCUUCAGGAUUUGAACCUGGAAUCUAUCUGACUCCUAAGUCCAGAUGCUGUUCACCACAUUAGGUUGAAGCAUGGCCAGUGUUCAUAACAUACAACUAUGUCUCCAUAUCUUUUGCUAACCAAUGUUCUUGUAUGUGCAUACCUUACAGGGCAGCCAUUCACCACAAGCCCUACUAGAUGGCUUCCUGUAAUAAGGGUAGAACAGUAGUACUCUCCUUUUGAGAAGUUAUUUGUAAUUUUGUUGGUGGGCUGACAUUUAGGCCCUGCUCUCCAGCCCCAGAGGGGAUCCCAUAACCUAGAUCAGGCCAAUGAUGAUUAUCUCCGUGACUGUAGUGGCUGGUCCAGCGGGGAGGGUCAGGCAGGUAAGCUGGCCCAACCUGAGUCCUUCUUGAGGAUUUUAGAAACUGAAGGUAGGAGAGAAAAAUUCUCUCUUUUCUUCUGGGGAACGGGAUGAAGGUGGUGGGUAGGCAGAGCUGUUGGGAUGUGGAUCCAGGGAUUCUGGAAGUCCUGUCCUCCACCAUGUAAAGAAUACAUCCUGCAGAAGGAGAGAAGGGAGCCAGCACACAGAGAAGCAGAGUCAGGAGAUGGAGAAGGAGAAUCCUGAGAGCCUGAAGGUCCCUGGGUCCAGCCAUUGUCAAGGCCGAGUUCUACCGUCCUUAAGUUGUUUACCUUUCUUUCUUGCUUGCUUCUGUUAGAAGAUGAACACUCAAUGAAAAAUCACCAAACAUCUGAGGAAAGCCAUCAAAAUGAAAUAAACGAAACACACAAGUUCCUAAACACAAGUGAACAGCGUGGGCUGGGUUUUUGUCGCUUGGAACUGGAAACGCUGACGAUAAUGCUGACCUCUGAGCAGACCCACGUGAGGGGCAGCUGUGGUGUGGUGUGAUGAUGCUGGGAUAGGCACUCAGAUGGUUGAGUCUGAGUUUGGCUCUGAUAUUAUAUCAACUGCAUGGGCAGCUGUGGUGUGGUGUGAUGAUGCUGGGAUAGGCACUCAGAUGGUUGAGUCUGAGUUUGGCUCUGAUAUUAUAUCAACUGCAUGGGCAGCUGUGGUGUGGUGUGAUGAUGCUGGGAUAGGCACUCAGAUGGUUGAGUCUGAGUUUGGCUCUGAUAUUAUAUCAACUGCAUGGGCAGCUGUGGUGUGGUGUGAUGAUGCUGGGAUAGGCACUCAGAUGGUUGAGUCUGAGUUUGGCUCUGAUAUUAUAUCAACCGCAUCAUUUUGGGGAAGACACAAUUUCUCAGAAUUUUAUUUAGUUGUAAAAUAAAGAUAAUGAUAUUACAUGCUCUGUCUACCAUCUAGAGUUUUUGUCAAGACAAAC
rnacentral:lncRNA from 10 species